AAUAGCAGUGCAAGUUCAGCUGAAUUUUGGGGUGUAUGACAAGGAAAAGAGAUACAAGAGACCUGACUGGUGAGUGGAGGGCAGAGGACACCAUGCUGGGCUCAGUGAGAUGCCAGCUGCAUGCAUGACAUGGGAGCAUCUUCCUGGAGUCUUCUUUGAGCCUUUAAAGACAGGAUUUAGUUUUGGACCACUGGUAGAGCAGCCAACAUCAGCGAGGGAAGGAUCCAGGCGUGAGGAAAACAUCAUUUAGGAUAAUUCCCAUUCUGAUGCUUCAUCUACCAAAGGCCACAAGAAAUUUUUACCCACAAAAAGCUGGAUGUUAUGCAUGAAAUGACUUUAAACCCCACUGUUUCACCUCCACUGCUGCCUCUCCCAUCAUCCCUUAACAUCAACAUGAAUAAAGUAACGUUAUCAGUGAUAACCUAUGCCCAGUAACCUCUUUACUUUUUAGUUAAUAGGAGAGCUGCUUUUCAGAGCAUGAGAGAAUUCAACAAGUUUUCUGCUGCAGGUGUUUCUACACAGGUCCGUGGUUGCUCUGGUUCAGGGUCCAACCAGCACCAGCCAAGGGCAGGGGCUCCUUUGUGAAGUAAAUAACCUUUCUAUCUCAGGGCACAGCAGAACAGGCUCUCCAGCACAGCCUCUUCCCUGCUCCAGCUGCAUCCCCACAAGGUCAGAGCUGGUACCUGGCAGAUCCAAACCCACAUGGAAGGCACAUUCCAAGAGGACA